rnacentral:rRNA from 1 species
UACGGGGGGAGCAAGCGUUGUUCGGAUUUACUGGGCGUAAAGGGCGCGUAGGCGGCGCAACAAGUCACUUGUGAAAUCUCCGGGCUUAACCCGGAGCGGCCAAGUGAUACUGUCGUGCUAGAGUGCGGAAGGGGCUACUGGAAUUCUCGGUGUAGCGGUGAAAUGCGUAGAUAUCGAGAGGAACACCUGCGGCGAAGGCGGGUAGCUGGGCCGAACAGUGACGC